rnacentral:lncRNA from 1 species
UGCUGUGGAUCCUUCUGUUCUAUGACAGAUUUUGGUGAACCAGGUUCAGUGCAUCUUUAUCAACCUCUGGUGAUGCUUUUCUCCUUCAGCCUGCGAAGGCUUGAAGCAGCAGUGAACAUCCAUGGGCUGAAAACUACAACCUGGAGAUGGGCUACUGACUGGGAAGGGGCUGCUGUCCACUAUGGACAUCUCAUUGAAAACCCUCAUGGAGAUGGAGGGGGAGGUGGAAGUGGAGAUGGAGGGGGAGAUGGAGAUGGAGGUGGAGAUGGAGGGGGAGAUGGAGGGGGAGGUGGAGAUGGAGAUGGAGGUGGAGGUGGAGAUGGAGAUGGAGAUGGAGGGGGAGGUGGAGAUGGAGAUGGAGAUGGAGGGGGAGAUGGAGGGGGAGAUGGAGAUGGAGGGGAAGGUGGAGAUGGAGAUGGAGGGGGAGAUGGAGAUGGAGGGGGAGGUGGAGAUGGAGAUGGAGGGGGAGAUGGAGAAGGAGGGGGAGGUGGAGAUGGAAGUGAAGAUGGAGGUGGAGGUGGAGACUGAGUUUUUCUUCCACACUUAACUCACUGGUGAACUGGAUUGAACUGGAUCAAAAGAGAGGGAUGCCAUGGUUUUCUAGGAGGAGAUCUGCCUCACACCUCCAUGAUGUUACCUCCACUGGGUCAAGCAGCUCCCAGUAUGGACCUUUGUGAGCCCAGUUUGUGGUGCUGUCUCCACCCCUGGGGAGAAUGUUACCCCAGCCACGAGUGGUCCUAGCCUGGACAUGGUGGGAUGGGCUGGGUUAUCUCUCAGGGCCCUCACCCUGCUUUGAGCAAACCAGAAGACCUCAGGAAACGUGAAAACUUCCUCCGUCCUUCAUAUGUGCAUCUCUGCUGAGCAUUGUGCAGAACCCCUCAGCCCCCCCCCAGCCCUCCCUCGCAGGUGAGCUUUGGGCAUGCAGACCCCAUCCUGGACCCAGCGGUGCUCC